rnacentral:rRNA from 1 species
AUUGAACGCUGGCGGCAUGCCUUACACAUGCAAGUCGAACGGUAACGCGGGGCAACCUGGCGACGAGUGGCGAACGGGUGAGUAACGCAUCGGAACGUGCCCAGUAGUGGGGGAUAGCCCGGCGAAAGCCGGAUUAAUACCGCAUACGACCUACGGGUGAAAGCGGGGGAUCGCAAGACCUCGCGCUAUUGGAGCGGCCGAUGUCAGAUUAGGUAGUUGGUGGGGUAAAGGCCUACCAAGCCUACGAUCUGUAGCUGGUCUGAGAGGACGACCAGCCACACUGGGACUGAGACACGGCCCAGACUCCUACGGGAGGCAGCAGUGGGGAAUUUUGGACAAUGGGCGCAAGCCUGAUCCAGCCAUGCCGCGUGCGGGAAGAAGGCCUUCGGGUUGUAAACCGCUUUUGUCAGGGAAGAAAUCUUCUGGGCUAAUACCUCGGGAGGAUGACGGUACCUGAAGAAUAAGCACCGGCUAACUACGUGCCAGCAGCCGCCGUAAAAC